rnacentral:rRNA from 1 species
GAUUAUGGCUCAGGAGUGAACGCUAGCGACAGGCUAACACAUGCAAGUCGAGGGGCAGCACGGGAGUAGCAAUACUUGGUGGCGACCGGCGCACGGGUGAGUAACGCGUAUGCAACCUACCUAUCGAGAGGGGAAUAACCCGGCGAAAGUCGGACUAAUACCGCAUAAAACAGGGGCACCGCAUGGUGAUAUUUGUUAAAGAAAUUCGCUGAUAGAUGGGCAUGCGUUCCAUUAGGUAGUUGGUGAGGUAACGGCUCACCAAGCCGACGAUGGAUAGGGGAACUGAGAGGUUGGUCCCCCACACUGGUACUGAGACACGGACCAGACUCCUACGGGAGGCAGCAGUGAGGAAUAUUGGUCAAUGGGCGGGAGCCUGAACCAGCCAAGUCGCGUGAAGGAAGAAGGAUCUAUGGUUCGUAAACUUCUUUUGCAGGGGAAUAAAGUGCAGGACGUGUCCUGUUUUGUAUGUACCCUGAGAAUAAGGAUCGGCUAACUCCGUGCCAGCCGCUGC